ensembl:snRNA U5 U5 spliceosomal RNA
UGGUUUCGCUUCAGAUUGUAUAAAUCUUUUGCCUUUUGCUAAAGAUUUCCAUAGAGAGGAACAUUUAA